GCUGACUAGUGUGGUGUGAGAUUUAGCUAAUAUUUGUAGAAGAGUAAUUCUUUAGAGGCAUAUGAGUCUUAGCUAAUAUUUACAGAACGCUUUGAGGUCUUGGAAUAGAUGCUGCUACCAAAGGGUGAAGUGGUAUUCACAUGUUCUGUCAUGUCAGAGUUGUUUACAAAUAGAAUAGAAUGGUGUUUUGAAGGUCAGGGACCUUGAGAACAAUAGCGGGUUUGAAGUACUCAUUUAUUUUUUACCAAGUUCAGAUGCCUGGCAUACACUAGCAUUUCAUUUAUAUAAAAGAUGUGAUCAAACAUUUUGGUUGUUUAAAAGAGUUGUUUUGCUUGUUUUUAGGCUGUUGAAAUGUCAGAUGGUAAAAACAACCAAGAGUUCCAGAUGGGGCAAUCGGAAGAGAAACAUGCUGAAGAUGAUAAUGAGAAAGUUCUGGAUUCUCUCAACUGGGAGUCCCAUGUCCUCACCUGUGGCUUCCAAACACAAUCACUGUUCAAGUCUUGUGCAAAGCAGCAUGCCAUGAGGAAGUUCUUCAUUAUCAGGGAGUGUUCGACCAAACCAGAGAAGAUCCUUGUCGUGAAGAGUUCAGGGGAAACGUCACAGAGCUCUUCGCUGUUAAGUGGGAGGUCAUGAAGAGUGUGGAGCCUGGCUGCGGUGCUGAUAUGUGUGAUAGGUUGGUGGAAAGAAGACAAGCCUGUGAGAGAUGCAGCAUGGUGGUGCAUUUGAGGUAUGUGAACAAAAAACAAGUGCCCAAGCAUCUAGCUUAUGUUGGUCUUUGUGCUACCAUUGCUUCACAAGGCACUGGUAUUUGGUCUGGCUCAUCUAGAGGCAGGCAUACACUUAGACUGCAGACCUACUGCCAGUAAUGUUUUUUCUGAAGUGAUUGCUAGGUAAGUCAAUUAUGUCGCUCCUCUUAGAAUGGGAACUAUUAAUUACAUGAAUUAGAGACACGGAGCAAAAAUGAUCAAAGCAGGUGGUAAAAUGGGAUACCAAGAUACACAGUGUGGUUUAAUGCUUAUGAUGCCUGUACACUGUGAAUGUCUUUGAAGAUGGGUGAUACAUAAUGUUUCUAAUUGAUUAUAUUAGCAAGAGUGUUAUCUGGAGGGCAUUUGAUGGAGAUUCAGGAAAUCUGGCUCUGUUUCUUGGUAUUUCAUUGGCCAUCUGAGCAAGUUAAUUCCUAUUCCUGUGCCUUAGUUGUUCCACCAUUAAAAGGCAGAUAAUCACCCAUAAAACAGAGAUAAUUAUACUGUCCUGUUUGAAAAGGAUGUAGAGACCAACUGAUUACAAGUUCUGGAUGCAUUUUUGAAGUUAUUACUAUUUGCUUUGUUUAGAUAAGUUAAUAAUAACAGACAUGUCAGUGUCAGUGGAUGUGCGACUUGCUUUGAGCUGGCAAGGAGAGAUGGGAACUUGAAUCAUUAUUGAUUUUCACUUUAAAGGUCUCUGCUAGCAAUUUAUUUAAAGGAAACAAUAAAGGUUGAUGCCAGAACUCUUCUUUUUGCUGG
rnacentral:lncRNA from 1 species